rnacentral:lncRNA from 1 species
UACUCUCAAUAAUUCCAAAUUACAUUACCCAACAUUCCAAAUAAUACAAACAAUAUAUGCAUUUUCAACAAAACCCAAUUCGUUCCUACACUCAAUUUCUCCAAAUUUACGAUUAUCAGACAAAUUUCUCCAAUUCGUUCCUACUCUCAAAGCAGAUCUGAAGAUGAAGCUUUUACCAACUGGCCUCAAGUCUCACUCUCUCACUCUCUCACCUAAAUGGUGAGUUUGAAGAAAGUAGAGAGAGAAAGAUUCUAGUGAGAGAGUAUACAUAGACAGAGAGACAGUAGCUUAACAGGGGUGUCAAAGCAAAAGCUGUAAAGUCAACAGGGUCUCCAAAUUCGAUUUCGACAUGCCAAAUUGNNNNNNNNNNNNNNNNNNNNNNNNNNNNNNNNNNNNNNNNNNNNNNNNNNNNNNNNNNNNNNNNNNNNNNNNNNNNNNNNNNNNNNNNNNNNNNNNNNNNGUUCAAUCAACCCAUUUCGUCCAAUUUCUUGGACGGACGUCAGAUAAUUACACACGUGGCAUUGAAAAAAAAAUCAAAAAAUCAUUAUUUCCUACUUGGCAAGCCAGUCAGCCAAAUUCUUAAUACUAUUGAGCCACUGCACUUUAAAAAAAUACAAUUGGCCCACUGUGGUUUUAAAAAUAUUUUUAUGUUUUCAAAUACUUAUAAAAUUUUUAAAAUUAAAAAAAAAUUUAUGUUUUAUUUUCUUUCUUUUUCUGUACUUAAAUAUUUAUAAUAUUUAUAAUAUGUAUGUUUUAUUUUAAAAAUAAAAAUAAAAAACUUUUAUGUUUUCAAAUACUUAUAAAAUUUUUAAAAAUAAAAAUAUUUUUAUGUUUUAUUUUCUUUCUUUUUCUUUACCUAUAUAUUUAUAAUAUGUAUAAUAUUAAUAAAAAUUAAUAUUAUAAUAUUUAUAAUAUGUAUAUUUUAUACAAUCAAUACCUCAUUAAUUUUUUUUUUUCCUUUAUCUCUUUUCCUUUCUUUUAAUUAUUUUAAUUUUAAAUAAUACAAAUAAUCAAAAUAUUCAAAAUUUUUAAUGAAUUUUCUUUAUAAUUUUUUCUUCUCAAACAAAAAAAAUAAAAAAAUAAAUUAUUAUGUGGUAAAAUAAAUAAUUAAAAUAAUAAUAAAAUUAAAAUAAAUAUUUUAAUUUAUUUUUUAAUAAUUUUUUCUUUUCCUUUCUUUUAAUAAUUAUUUUUAUUUUAAAAAUUAUUUCCAAAUAAUACAAACAAUAUAUCAAAUUUUUUGUAUCAAUAAAAUCUAUUACAAUAUUACUCAAUUCGUUCCUACUCUCAAUAAUUCCAAAUUACAUUACCCAACAUUCCAAAUAAUACAAACAAUAUAUGCAUUUUCAACAAAACCCAAUUCGUUCCUACACUCAAUUUCUCCAAAUUUACGAUUAUCAGACAAAUUUCUCCAAUUCGUUCCUACUCUCAAAGCAGAUCUGAAGAUGAAGCUUUUACCAACUGGCCUCAAGUCUCACUCUCUCACUCUCUCACCUAAAUGGUGAGUUUGAAGAAAGUAGAGAGAGAAAGAUUCUAGUGAGAGAGUAUACAUAGACAGAGAGACAGUAGCUUAACAGGGGUGUCAAAGCAAAAGCUGUAAAGUCAACAGGGUCUCCAAAUUCGAUUUCGACAUGCCAAAUUGAAAUCGCCUAUCCAUCAAUGCCAGAGAUCAUAAUUUUCAAAGACCUGAACCUAAAAAUUCUAGCGGUCAAGGCGAUGUCGAUGGCGUUGGAGGAGGCUGACAUGAUGAAUGGAUCUGGUGAGUUAAGAGCUUGCAUGAACGAGGAGGCUGACAUACUUUUCGGCAAGGAGGAGUUGAGAAAUUGUUGUAAUACUGAUUCUUCUUCAUCUCCACAACACUCUGAUUUGGUUUCUCAUUUUUUUUUAUUUUGAGUCUGAUUAGCCAAAUAAGCAACCAGAUCUGCUUGAUUUUGCUUGAUUUUUGACUUUCUUUUCUGAAAUUAAUAAGAUGUUGUAAAUAUAAAAUUUUUGAUAUAUUAUUUAUAUUAUUUAGAAUUAAAAUAAGAGAGUUAUGACAUUUGACCUUUUUAAAAGGUGCACGGGUCGGGUUGACCCGAUUGAGAAAGAAGAUG